ACUGGGCUAGCUCAGUCAAUAGAGCAUGAGACUCUUAAUCUCAUGGUUGUGGGUUCAAGCCCCAUGUUUGGGA
rnacentral:tRNA from 1 species